AUAAGUGUUGUAUCCCGGAUAAGAUCAAAGUGUUAUAUCUGUUCUUAUCAGCUUCAUAUCUGAUACGUCCUGCAUCGCAGGACCAUAAUAUUAAAAUAAUUUUUGGCUGAUGACGAAGAACUGGGGACUUGAUCUACCUCUGCAUCUGGUUAGCCCAUCAUUGCAGUUACUCGUAGUAGAUACAUUAA